UACGUAGGGGGCUAGCGUUGUCCGGAAUCAUUGGGCGUAAAGAGCGUGUAGGCGGCCAGGUAGGUCCGUUGUGAAAACUCGAGGCUCAACCUCAGAGUGUCCGGCGAAACCAUCUGGCUAGAGUCCGGGAAGAGGAGAGUGGAAUUCCUGGUGUAGCGGUGAAAUGCGCAGAUAUCAGGAAGAACACCCGUGGCGAAGGCGGCUCUCUGGGACGGUACUGACGCUGAGACGCGAAAGCGUGGGGAGCGAACAGG
rnacentral:rRNA from 1 species